rnacentral:tRNA from 1 species
UUGUAGCUCAGUUGGAUAGAGUGUUGGCCUCCGAAGCCAAAGGUCGUGGGUUCGAAUCCCGUCA